rnacentral:rRNA from 1 species
AGUGAAGCGGGAUGAGCUCAAAUUUAAAAUCUGGCUGGUUUACUAGUCCGAAUUGUAGUUUAAAGAAGCGUUUUCGGUGGCAGCCUGGGUAUAAAUCCUUUGGAACAGGGUAUCAUAGAGGGUGAGAAUCCCGUCUUUGACUCAGUGCAUGCUACUAUGUGAUACGUUUUCAAAGAGUCGAGUUGUUUGGGAAUGCAGCUCAAAAUGGGUGGUAAAUUUCAUCUAAGGCUAAAUAUUGGCGAGAGACCGAUAGCGAACAAGUACCGUGAGGGAAAGAUGAAAAGAACUUUGAAAAGAGAGUUAAACAGUGCGUGAAAUUGUUGAAAGGGAAACGCUUGACACCAGUCAUGCGAGCGGAAAAUCAGUCUUUUGCAGUGGGGAGUUGUGUGGGUUCGGACCGCAAGGCCGGCCUGUGCUGCAUCUCUGCUGUAAGUGAUGCACUUUUUCGUUUGCAGGCCAACAUCAGUUUCUUCUGCUGGACAAAACUCUUGAGAAGGUAGCAGCUUUGGCUGUGUUAUAGCUCUUGAGCGAUACAGUGGAGGGGACUGAGGUUUUCGCAGCGCGUGCUCUCGGGCAAGGCUGAUUGGGUGCUAUGGGAUCGUUCGGUGUACAAUGCAUGCAUUUUGCGCCGUGUCUUUUCUAUACUCGCUCAACUCGGCUCUCCGCGCUUAGGAUGUUGGCUUAAUGGUUUUAAUCGACCCGUCUUG